AUCCGAACAAAGAUUCUGAAUCUGAGUUUGAAACGGGAGACGUUGAAGGCAAAUUCAGGAUUUCUGGGGAUUUUUAAAGUCGUCUAGUCUUCCGGAUGUUAAUCGUAGAUGCUGUGAUUCCCUUUGACGUUUCGUCAGAUGGGAUUUCGAUAUUUAAAGCCAGAGCUCCCAACGUCCUUCCUGCUCUCUUCUGGAACUAUCCGCAUGGUUUCUUGGCCUCUGACCUUUAAAGUUCUCCUUCUGUUUUCCCUGUCACCCGAUCUUCAAGCCAUCAUUUCCAGUUGAAAGAGGACCAGUCUUCCAUUUUUGGUUAGUACAGAGGACAUCUUCAUAACUCCUUGAUUCAGACCCUGAAAGAGGGUCGUUUUGACUUGGAACAGAACUCGGGUUGUAUUAUUUUGGAUGUGUACAAUCAAGACAAGCUUAUGCAACACCGGACGAGGACAGCGGGACCCUCAAACUCACUUGGUUCUGUUGCAGUGAAAGAUUCAUGAACCUAAGCAUGCUUCUUGUUCUCUCUCUGUUCACGGCAAAAACAACUCCACCGUCGAGCAGCUUCAUCACUCAGCACAGCUAACAGGACUGUACUAACUGGACUCUCGAGAUAAACAAGCUGUCUGAACGGUGAGGAUUGUUUAGUAAGAGUGACAGAACUGGACCAGGCGGACAGAAGGGUGCAGGGGGAGAGGACGGGGACCCAGGCCGCGUGGGGCUUCCAGCGGUUCUUUCAGGUCCUGCAGGGAUGGAUGCUAUGGCAGAAUAAAAAACAGGACGGGGAGUUUCUGCUGUCCCACUGGUACAAUGCAUGCAGGCGUGGCGCCCCCUGGAGGUGGGGAUCAGUGAUAUUAAACAUGCUCCCCCAUGGCCAUCAUCACAGGUGUCGAGCCAUCGCGGAGGAGCCAGAGAACGACCGUGAGGAGAGGAUUCUGGCAAUAUUGGGGAUCAUCGGCACGGUGCUCAACCUGCUGGUGGUCAUCUUCGUCUACAUCUACACCACCUUCUAAGAUCUUAAGGGACAGGAUUCCCUCAUCUGAAGAAAUGGCAGUUAAGCAGAGGAGAACAGACUGGCAUCAUUUUUCAUCACCAAAAACCAUCAAGCAGUGCCUGACCUAUUCAAUCAGUCGAGAAAACACAAGCAUUACAUUCAAAACCACUCUGAGACCUUUUCGUUUCAGUUAGUAUGAAAGAUCGCUUACACGGUUGUUCAUUAUUUGUAUAUCUGUUCAUGGUUCAUAUAGUCUUGAUUAUAAUUGCAUGUUCUCUGAUUUCUUACGUACAGUAAGUAUUAUAUGCUAUUUCAGAUGUGUGUGAGUUUCACUUAAAGCUGACCUUUCUACUGGGUCUGGAGCCAAGCAAAAUGAAGCUCCAGAUGUUGACGAUCUGACAUGCAGAAAUAAGAGUGGGAAUGGUUAUUGAGUUUCUUGUUUUAUGUUGAAUUGUCUCUAUAUAAAGCACAACAGAGCAGAAUGCCACAACGAUGUCUUGUUCUCAGGUGUUUAGCUGGGUUAGUAUAGGAACGCUUACUUGAAAACUGAAGGCACAUUGACGACAGUCAGUCUCUGUUGUUGCAGUCAUGCACGUAAUGUCUGGUCUCGAUUUACACUUUCUACUUAGUGUGCUUUUUGCAACUAAAAACUUAAACUUGAUUAAAACACUGUUGCAAUAGUUUUGUACAACAAAAAUGGUUUGACAGUCAGAGAAAUGUGAAAUGAAAGAGAAAGAUGGCAAUAGAAAUGUGCUUUUAUAACAUCAUAAUACAAGUUUUGACUGUUGAAAUGGGCUUUUAGCUUCUUCCUCAAUGUUUCGAAAGUUGAAAAGAGGAUUGAUCUGAUGUUUCUUGUAAUAAAAAUGAAAUAU